GAUGAACGCUGGCGGCGUGCUUAACACAUGCAAGUCGAACGGAAAGGCCCUUUCUUGCAUGGUUGCUCGAGUGGCGAACGGGUGAGUAACACGUGAGUGACCUGCCCUGCACUUCGGGAUAAGCCUGGGAAACUGGGUCUAAUACCGGAUAGGAGCACAUGUUGGAUGGUGUGGUAGAAAGUUUUUCGGGGUGGGAUGAGCUGGCGGCCUAUCAUCUUGUUGGUGGGGUAAUGGCCGACAAAGGCGUCGACGGGUAGGCGGCCUGGGAGGGUGUACGGCCACAUUGGUACUGGGAUAGGCCCCAGACGCGUACGGGGGGAAGCAGGGGGAAAUAUUGCACAAUGGGGGCAAGCGUGAGGAAGGAACGCCGGGUGGGGGAUGCCGGCCUUCGGGUUGAAAACUCCUUUCGCCGGGGACGAAGCGUGAGUGACGGUACCUGGAGAAGAAGCACCGGCUAACUACGUG
rnacentral:rRNA from 1 species